rnacentral:lncRNA from 1 species
GUUGCUGUAAGGGUUUCUGGGUAUACGGAAAUAAAAGAGAAAAGAAGCAGACCGCGUGUCGAGAGUCCGCGUGGUUAUUCGCAAAUAGCAAACAUAACAUUUGGCGACGAGGAUGGAGUUUUUUCUACCUCCUACACCUCCUUUUCUGGCUUUGCCCGGCGAGCCGCCGGUGCCCUGGGACCGCUGGUUUGAAUCCUUUUCGACGUAUCUCACGGCCGUCGGCCUCGCGGAUUCUCCAGACCAGCGUCUGCGAGCCUUGCUGCUCCAUAACCUGGGCACGGAAGGGCAGCGGAUCUUCAGGACCCUGGGAGCCGGCACAACGUACGCGGACGGCGACGCAAAAUUGGCCGCGCAUUUCGCCGCCCCACAGAGCGUUAUCCUGCACCAGAGGAGGCAGCAACCGGGCGAGUCGGUUCACCAUUACGUGACGGACCUGCGGGGGCUGGCGAGUUUCUGUAAGUUCGGAACAAUGGAAGACGAGUUCAUUCGGGAUCAAUUGGCAGAGCAUACAAACAAUCCCAGAAUCCGCGAAAAGUUCAUUAUGUCCUCGGACGACCUCACGCUCGCCGUAGCUGUGGAACUGGCUUUUCAGAUGGAGUCAGCAGCCGAAUUAGCAUCUCGCCUGGCGCCGGUACCCUCUCUUCAGCCCGCAGUGCCCACACUUACUGUCCAGCCGCCUGCGCUCCCAGACGACACACCUGACCACGGCCUCCCCGUAAACUAUGCCGCUCGCCGCGGCGCGUCCACCCGCCACCCGUGUGGAAACUGCGAAUCCUCCACGCAUAACACCAGGGUGCCGAACUGCCCGGCUAAUGGCCAAACCUGCUCACAAUGCGGGAAACGUCACCAUUUCGCCCGUGUUUGCCGUUCAGCCGCAUCCGGCCGCCCUCAGAGGCCAUCUUCUCCAGCGCCACCUACUACUAUUCACUCUGUUACUGCAGCAUCUCCCCCAUUUAAAACGUGUGUGGUGCGGCUGGACGGUGUUCCACUGCCACUGCUGCUGGAUACAGGGGCUUCACGCUCCUUGCUGAACCUGGCCACUGUCAAGCAGUUUUUUUCCCAUCAUACCCUCCACCCUGACUGUGAGCUCCUGAGUGGGUAUGGGAAUUCCAAAAUAGACAUAGUAGGCAC